rnacentral:rRNA from 1 species
GACGAACGCUGGCGGCGUGCUUAACACAUGCCAGUCGAACGGAAAGGCCCUGCUUUUGUGGGGUGCUCGAGUGGCGAACGGGUGAGUAGCACGUGAGUAACCUGCCCUUGACUUUGGGAUAACUUCAGGAAACUGGGGCUAAUACCGGAUAGGAGCUCCUGCUGCAUGGUGGGGGUUGGAAAGUUUCGGCGGUUGGGGAUGGACUCGCGGCUUAUCAGCUUGUUGGUGGGGUAGUGGCUUACCAAGGCUUUGACGGGUAGCCGGCCUGAGAGGGUGACCGGCCACAUUGGGACUGAGAUACGGCCCAGACUCCUACGGGAGGCAGCAGUGGGGAAUAUUGCACAAUGGGCGGAAGCCUGAUGCAGCAACGCCGCGUGCGGGAUGACGGCCUUCGGGUUGUAAACCGCUUUCGCCUGUGACGAAGCGUGAGUGACAGUAAUGGGUAAAGAAGCACCGGCUAACUACGUG